rnacentral:rRNA from 1 species
GACGAACGCUGGCGGCGUGCUUAACACAUGCAAGUCGAACGAUGAAGCUGGAGCUUGCUCUAGUGGAUUAGUGGCGAACGGGUGAGUAACACGUGAGCAAUCUGGCCCUUGACUCUGGGAUAACUGCGGGAAACUGUAGCUAAUACCGGAUACGACACCUUGGGGCAUCCCGAGGUGUGGAAAGAAUUUCGGUCAAGGAUGAGCUCGCGGCCUAUCAGCUUGUUGGUGAGGUAAAAGCUCACCAAGGCGACGACGGGUAGCCGGCCUGAGAGGGUGACCGGGCCACACUGGAACUGAGAUACGGUCCAGACUCGUGAUGCU